AUUUAUUAUUCACAAGUGUUUGAGGAUUUAGCAUCUUGUCUCGGGGAAUGUGUGUUUCUGCACUUUGAAUUAGGGGUCGAACAAACACGGGAUCGGUUGGUGCGAGUGUGUGUAUGUAUGUGUGCAUGUUUGUUGGGCUUUCUUUGUAGGUAAGGCCCUGUGUACUUUCUCAAACACCACAUCAAAGGGCGAGAAGCUUGUUAAAGCACAUUAAACUCAUGGUUGCAAGAGAGGGGUGGAGAUCUGCGGAUUAAAAAUCCAGUUUUUACAGUACAAAAGGGAGUCACUGCAAGAAAAAACUCGCAAACACUCUCUCACACCCUUUGUACUCCCAUCUACUUAUACUAGCUAAUCCAUGGAAGUAGCUUAGUAGCAGAGGCAGCGUCAGUUUGCUUCCGGGACCUCAAACAAUCAUCAUUCCAGGGUGUUACCCCGUUAAAGGAGGACUCCAGGUGACUGUCCAGGUAGGGCCUCCUCCGAGGGUGGAGGGAGGAGGGACCGAUUUACUGCCACCAUCAUGCCUGUGGUGAGCCACCAUCCACGAGAGCUCCUGAUGCCAGUCCGGUGGACCGUGUGGAUGGACGUCAGGAUUCAGUCCCCCUUGAUGCCCCCAGCAUAGCUGCUUUCCACGUGCACAUCCCUGGCUGCAUGAGGCCAUUAAGCUCACAUUCUGCAGGCUGGGCCCCGCGCUCCUCAUUGUUCCACCCGGGCAUCCUAAAGCGAAGGGUUUCUAGUCAACUUGGAAAAGGCGAAUUAGUUGCUAUGGAGACCUGUCCACGCGGGCAACAAACCGGAGGGCUUCUGUACACUAACUUGAUCAGGUGGUGGAGCCAGGAAGUGGGCAAGGCAACGAUGGUUCUUAACCACUCCAGUUUCAGAACACAGACACCCCCUGAGAAUAAAGACCCCUUACGAGGGUUGUGGUGA
rnacentral:lncRNA from 1 species